rnacentral:rRNA from 1 species
GGGGAAUUUUGCGCAAUGGGCGAAAGCCUGACGCAGCAACGCCGCGUGAGUGAUGAAGGCCUUCGGGUCGUAAAGCUCUGUCGGGAGGGAAGAAGUGAUUGAGGGUUAAUACCCCUUGAUCUUGACGGUACCUCCGAAGGAAGCACCGGCUAACUCCGUGCCAGCAGCCGCGGUAAUACGGAGGGUGCAAGCGUUGUUCGGAAUUAUUGGGCGUAAAGCGCGUGUAGGCGGUUUCUUAAGUCUGAUGUGAAAGCCCCGGGCUCAACCUGGGAAGUGCAUUGGAAACUGGGGGACUUGAGUACGGGAGAGGGUAGUGGAAUUCCUAGUGUAGGAGUGAAAUCCGUAGAUAUUAGGAGGAACACCGGUGGCGAAGGCGGCUACCUGGACCGAUACUGACGCUGAGACGCGAAAGCGUGGGGAGCAAAC